rnacentral:lncRNA from 1 species
GUUAGCGGUUUCGAAAAGAGCUUCUGUCCACUGCGUUCGCUGAGGCUUAUCUUUCUAGUCACAUCGCGAAAGCCUGGCGAUUGGUCGAAAACCGUUCAGCGCGGUUGAUUAUUCGAUUUUAAACUCGGCGCCGAUGCAUUACGGGUAUUUCGCGCAUGCUCUUUCCCCCCUUUUUGUACCCAAAUUCCAAUUUCCAAACGGUGGGCAUCGGCAGGAAUUUACCGACGCGCUGCGCGCGCUGUUUUCCAACCCCAACCCUCGUGACUUAGGAAUGAGCCAUUGACUCAUGCCUGAUAGCGCCGAAUGAGUGUUCCUCGACACCUAAUGUUCCUGACUCAGAGGGAAAUUACCGCAUCCUAAGGAAGAAGUAAGCUAACGUUUUACGUUUCGAGUUCUGCCGCAAACUGCGACCAAAACAGAAUAACUCGUAGGUACAUGAACGAGGCGGAAAAAAAAACAGGAAACAGAAACCGCUGCUCGAAGGAAAACCAGCGGCUGGUGGGUACGAAGAAAACCGUACGUGGAUCAAGCCCCAGAUAUUUGAGUGGAAAUUCAACCGCUCUGUAAAUCGGCGCAGCAGCUGCAGCACAAAAAAUUUCCUCACCCCGCCAAGCGGGUCAGUUAUUUACGUAGUAUUCUUUGGUGGAGCUUCAAGGUCAAAUAUUGAGUGUAUAAAACGUGAAUUAGGUCUCCAGGUAUGCAAAAAACUGUCAAUUCAACAGACACGCGUCACCGUGCGGCUCAACAAUGACGAAUAAAAUAGAUUCUGCACGGAUGAGUGUGAAGUUUGGAAAAUGAGUUCAGACAAGUGCUGUAAUUAGGCGAGUGAGAUAUUGCCCAUCUGUACGUUUGUCACACGCUAUUGUUUUGCAAUACCCGUGGCGGAAAAUUUGCUUUUAGAGCAACAAAGAUUAGAUCAUUUAGACUCAAUGACGCAGUGCGUAAAAUUGAGUUAGUCGACAAAGCGCACGCGCCAAAGUGAGCCUCGGUUUGUAAAAUCUAUCAUUCCGGUUGUGCGCAUGCGUCAACAUCGUUUUACCUCACUGUUUGGAAAUGGGAAACUUUACGCACGCUUCACAGGCUCUUCAAGCGGGUUUUGGAUAAAAAUAUGAACAAAUGUAAAAAAAUAUAAACAUAAAAUGAAGAUGAAAAUAUUUCGCGGCGCACAUGUCAAACCAGCCAUGCUAUGCGCAGAAUGAAUAAGUGCGACUCACCGGUUCUAGCGUGAUGUGAAAUCCGUGUUUUUCGUCGUCGGGGUUCAUUCCGGCGAUUUGUUCGCGAAGGAUGGGAUCAGCCUUGUGGAAAUGCGGCAAACUGACGAAGGCUGGCGCCCCGUAGCGACAUGCCGUAACAUUGAUGAGGCCUGAGGGAGUGCAUUCGCCAUUGCAAAAGCACUGACCUACGUUCACGACGUCCGGA